UGGGGAAUAUUGGACAAUGGGCGCAAGCCUGAUCCAGCCAUGCCGCGUGUCUGAAGAAGGCCUUCGGGUUGUAAAGGACUUUUGUCAGGGAAGAAAAGGUUGUUGUUAAUAUCAGCGGCUGAUGACGUUACCUGAAGAAUAAGCACCGGCUAACUACGUGCCAGCAGCCGCGGUAAUACGUAGGGUGCGAGCGUUAAUCGGAAUUACUGGGCGUAAAGCGAGCGCAGACGGUUAGUUAAGCAGGAUGUGAAAUCCCCGGGCUCAACCUGGGAACUGCGUUCUGAACUGGCUGACUAGAGUGUGUCAGAGGGAGGUAGAAUUCCACGUGUAGCAGUGAAAUGCGUAGAGAUGUGGAGGAAUACCGAUGGCGAAGGCAGCCUCCUGGGAUAACACUGACGUUCAUGCUCGAAAGCGUGGGUAGCAAACAGGAUUAGAUACCCUGGUAGUCCACGCCGUAAACGAUGUCAAUUAGGAGUUGGGCACCUUGAGUGUUCAGUAGCGUAGCUAACGCGUGAAAUUGACCGCCUGGGGAGUACGGUCGCAAGAUUA
rnacentral:rRNA from 1 species